GGGAGUUUGGCCGAGUGGUUAAGGCGUUGUGUUUAGGUCAUCAUCCACCAAAUGGGGAUACCUCAAAACCGCAAUGGGAAACCGCGCAGGUUCGAAUCCUGCAGCUCUCA